GAUGAACGCUAGCUACAGGCUUAACACAUGCAAGUCGAGGGGUAACGAGAGGGAAGCUUGCUUUCCUUGUCGACGACCGGCGCACGGGUGAGUAACGCGUAUCCAACCUGCCCCCAACUAGGGAAUAACGUUGCGAAAGUAAGACUCAUACCCUAUAAUUUCCUCAGAUGUCAUCUGACGAGGAAUAAAGAUUUAUCGGUUGUGGAUGGGGAUGCGUCUGAUUAGCUUGUUGGCGGGGUAACGGCCCACCAAGGCAACGAUCAGUAGGGGUUCUGAGAGGAAGGUCCCCCACAUUGGAACUGAGACACGGUCCAAACUCCUACGGGAGGCAGCAGUGAGGAAUAUUGGUCAAUGGGCGGAGGCCUGAACCAGCCAAGUAGCGUGCAGGAUGACGGCCCUAUGGGUUGUAAACUGCUUUUGUACAGGAAUAAAGUUAGCCACGUGUGGUUAUUUGUAGGUACUGUAUGAAUAAGGACCGGCUAAUUCCGUGCCAGCCGCCGCAGUAA
rnacentral:rRNA from 1 species